UUUCCGUAGGUGAACCUGCGGAAGGAUCAUUCAUAAUAAGUGUUUUAUGGCACUUUUUUAAAUCCAUAUCCACCUUGUGUGCAAUGUCAGGGUUGAUUUUUCUCUCGAGAGGAUCAACCCCAAACAUCAACUAUAUCUCAACUCUUUGUCUGAAAAAUAUUAUGAGUAAAACAAUUCAAAAUACAACUUUCAACAACGGAUCUCUUGGCUCUC
rnacentral:misc_RNA from 1 species